GGAAUUGUUAUAUGUCAUAAGAUGUUACUCUUCUGAUUUUUUUCAGAUGUUUAAAAAUAUUGGGCUGGGGGGUAUAGCUUAGUGGUAGAACAUUUACCUAGCAGUGGCCUGACACCAUAAAAGAAGAGGGGAAAAAUCAUUCUGAAUUAAAGGAUCAUACCAAAUUGAGCAGCAGACCAGGUUUGGACUGUGACUACAGUUUGACAACCCCUGGUGUAGAUCUGUAAUGUCCAAUAGCCGCCUAGCCCUGUGUGGCAGUCUUGAUCACUGGAAAAGUGGUGAAUCUGGGUUGUGUUCCAAGUGCUCAGUAUACACUGGUUUUCAAAGACAGUCCACAAAACAAGUAAAAUAUCCCAAUCAUUGUUUUUGUGGCUUUUAUGUCAAAGUGAUAAUAUUUUUGAAUAGAUUAAAUUAAAAAUAUUACUAUAAUGAAUUUCACUUGUUUCUUUUUUACCUUCUAAUUGUCUCUAAUAGUUUUUGUCUCACUGUGUUCCCCAAGCUGGCCUCUAACUUGUAGGCUUCAGUGAUCCUCCCACCUCACUCUUCCAAGAAGCUGGGACUACUGCCAUGUGGCUGGCCUAAUAAUUUUGUAAUGUAGCUACUAGAACAAUUUAUUUAUUUAAAAAAUUUGUUUUGAGCCAGAGCGGUGGUGCACACCUAUAAUCCCAGCACUCAGGAAGCUGAGGCAGGAGGAUCCCAAGUUCAAGGCUAGUCUCAGCAGUUUAGUGGGCCCCUAAGCAACUUAGCAAGACCUUGUCUCAAAACAAAACAUUAAAAGACCUGGGGAUGUAGCCCAGUGGUAAAGCACCCCUGGGUUUAAUCCACAGUACCAAAAAAAAUUUGUUUUUUCUUUUGAGAUAGGGCUUCACUGUGUUGUCCAGGCUGCUCCUGAAUUCCUGGGCUCAAGGGAUCCUCCUGUCUCACCUCCUGAGUAGCUGGGACUGUAGGUGUGUGCUGUGGUGCUGAGUUAGAACAUUCUAAAUUGUUCACAUUUGCACUUGUGGCUUGGGUACUGUCUCUGUCAUAUAGGGCUGCUCCAGAAGUGAGGCUGGAGGGCCGUGUGUGAUAGGAC
rnacentral:lncRNA from 1 species